AGCGAACGCUGGCGGCAGGCCUAACACAUGCAAGUCGAACGAACUCUUCGGAGUUAGUGGCGGACGGGUGAGUAACACGUGGGAACGUGCCCUUUGGUACGGAAUAACUCAGGGAAACUUGAGCUAAUACCGUAUGUGCCCUUCGGGGGAAAGAUUUAUCGCCAUUGGAGCGGCCCGCGUCUGAUUAGCUAGUUGGUGAGGUAACGGCUCACCAAGGCGACGAUCAGUAGCUGGUCUGAGAGGAUGACCAGCCACAUUGGGACUGAGACACGGCCCAAACUCCUACGGGAGGCAGCAGUGGGGAAUCUUGCGCAAUGGGCGAAAGCCUGACGCAGCCAUGCCGCGUGGAUGAUGAAGGUCUUAGGAUUGUAAAAUCCUUUCACCGGUGAAGAUAAUGACUGUAGCCGGAGAAGAAGCCCCGGCUAACUUCGUGCCAGCAGCCGCCGUAAUAC
rnacentral:rRNA from 1 species